GAGGGUGUAGCUCAAGCAGUAGAGUGCAUGCUUAGCAUACACAAGGUCCUGGGUUCAAUCCCCAGUACCUCCU
rnacentral:tRNA from 1 species